GAUGAACGCUAGCGGCAGGCUUAAUACAUGCAAGUCGUGGGGCAGCAUGAGUAGCAAUACUUGAUGGCGACCGGCAAACGGGUGAGGAACACGUACACAACCUUCCUUCAAGCGGGGAAUAGCCCAGAGAAAUUUGGAUUAAUACCCCAUAAUAUAUUUGAUAAGGCAUCUUAUUAAUAUUAAAGCUUCGGCACUUGAUGAUGGGUGUGCGGCUGAUUAGAUAGUUGGCGGGUAACGGCCCACCAAGUCUACGAUCAGUAGCUGAUGUGAGAGCAUGAUCAGCCACACGGGCACUGAGACACGGGCCCGACUCCUACGGGAGGCAGCAGUAAGGAAUAUUGGACAAUGGACGAAAGUCUGAUCCAGCCAUGCCGCGUGAAGGGAUUAAGGUCCUCUGGAUUGUAAACUUCUUUAUAUGGGACGAAAAAGGGCAUUCUUGUUCACUUGACGGCACCAUAUGAAUAAGCACCGGCUAACUCCGUGCC
rnacentral:rRNA from 1 species